rnacentral:rRNA from 1 species
AGGGACCUACGGGGCGCAGCAGUAGGGAAUCUUCCACAAUGGACGAAAGUCUGAUGGAGCAACGCCGCGUGAGUGAAGAAGGGUUUCGGCUCGUAAAGCUCUGUUGGUAGUGAAGAAAGAUAGAGGUAGUAACUGGCCUUUAUUUGACGGUAAUUACUUAGAAAGUCACGGCUAAAUACGGUGCAGCAGCCGCGGUAAUAAGUAGGUGGCGAGGGUUAUCCGGAAUGAUUGGGUGUAAAGGGUGCGGAGGCGGCCUGCUAAGGCUGG